GGGUGGAAGUGCUUUUGGAAGGAACACAUAGCAGAAGAUACCAUGAGUGUCUUCAUUAUCACAUUUUAGAAGAGCAGAGAGAACGAGCUGGCACAGACUUGGAGAAAUCUGACUGGUCAGUAGCACCCCUGCCCACAUGCUGUACGAGACUCAGCCAAACUCCUUUUAUGGGGAGAAGAACUGCAGACUCCAGCACCAGAAAGGCAUCAGUCCCACUAUAUCCAGGGUCUGCUACAGAGGAGGCAGAUGUGAUGAGUUUUCACAGAGGCACUGCUAGUCAAGGUCAAGACCACUUCCAGACUAAUUUCCAAAAAAUCAACAUAUCAUCUGUUACAUUAUGAAAAUUGGCCACCUGAAUGCUGAAAAUUUAGAGUCCUUCACUUUUCCUGGAUGAAGUGUCUUCUGUCAAAUUUCAUUCUGUGGUGAACGUAUAUUUCCAUCAAUGUGAUACAAUCUAUUACUGA